UCCAAGACUUUGAUCCUGGCUCAGGACGAACGCUGGCGGCGUGCCUAAUACAUGCAAGUCGAGCGGACCGACUGGAGCUUGCUCCCUUAGGUCAUCGGCGGACGGGUGAGUAACACGUGGGUAACCUGCCUGUAAGACUGGGAUAACUCCGGGAAACCGGGGCUAAUACCGGAUGCUUGUUUGAACCGCAUGGUUCAAACAUAAAAGGUGGCUUUUAGCUAUCACUUACAGAUGGACCCGCGGCGCAUUAGCUAGUUGGUGGGGUAACGGCUCACCAAGGCGACGAUGCGUAGCCGACCUGAGAGGGUGAUCGGCCACACUGGGACUGAGACACGGCCCAGACUCCUACGGGAGGCAGCAGUAGGGAAUCUUCCGCAAUGGACGAAAGUCUGACGGAGCAACGCCGCGUGAGUGAUGAAGGUUUUCGGAUCGUAAAACUCUGUUGUUAGGGAAGAACAAGUACCGUUCGAACAGGGCGGUACCUUGACGGUACCUAACCAGAAAGCCACGGCUAACUACGUGCCAGCAGCCGCGGUAAUACGUAGGUGGCAAGCGUUGUCCGGAAUUAUUGGGCGUAAAGCGCGCGCAGGCGGUUCUUUAAGUCUGAUGUGAAAGCCCCCGGCUCAACCGGGGAGGGUCAUUGGAAACUGGGGAACUUGAGUGCAGAAGAGGAGAGUGGAAUUCCACGUGUAGCGGUGAAAUGCGUAGAGAUGUGGAGGAACACCAGUGGCGAAGGCGACUCUCUGGUCUGUAACUGACGCUGAGGCGCGAAAGCGUGGGGAGCGAACAGGAUUAGAUACCCUGGUAGUCCACGCCGUAAACGAUGAGUGCUAAGUGUUAGAGGGUUUCCGCCCUUUAGUGCUGCAGCAAACGCAUUAAGCACUCCGCCUGGGGAGUACGGUCGCAAGACUGAAACUCAAAGGAAUUGACGGGGGCCCGCACAAACUGUGGAUCAUGUGGUUUAAUUCGAAGCAACGCGAAGAACCUUACCAGGUCUUGACAUCCUCUGACAACCCUAGAGAUAGGGCUUCCCCUUCGGGGGCAGAGUGACAGGUGGUGCAUGGUUGUCGUCAGCUCGUGUCGUGAGAUGUUGGGUUAAGUCUCGCAACUGAGCGCAACCCUUGAUCUUAGUUGCCAGCAUUCAGUUGGGCACUCUAAGGUGACUGCCGGUGACAAACCGGAGGAAGGUGGGGAUGACGUCAAAUCAUCAUGCCCCUUAUGACCUGGGCUACACACGUGCUACAAUGGGCAGAACAAAGGGCAGCGAAGCCGCGAGGCUAAGCCAAUCCCACAAAUCUGUUCUCAGUUCGGAUCGCAGUCUGCAACUCGACUGCGUGAAGCUGGAAUCGCUAGUAAUCGCGGAUCAGCAUGCCGCGGUGAAUACGUUCCCGGGCCUUGUACACACCGCCCGUCACACCACGAGAGUUUGUAACACCCGAAGUCGGUGAGGUAACCUUUUGGAGCCAGCCGCCGAAGGUGGGACAGAUGAUUGGGGUGAAGUCGUAACAAGCUAGCCGUA
rnacentral:rRNA from 1 species